UGCUAUCCAGCUCCCCACUCCACUUUGAACUUCCACUGUAAAGCCCUAUUGCCCAAACCUUCCAACCGCCCGCCACCGCCGCGAACCGUUUUCCUUCUCUACCCCAACCAAAACUAUGGGGCCGUUGCAAGUUUCUCGACAGGACCAUUACUGUGCACGCGGAUACUGCUAGAUCAAUCAAUUUACUAUUCCCGGCCAUAGAUUCUUAUUAAUGAGAUGGAGAAUAUUAUGUAUCUUGGAAGUGAAAUCUAAAAUCACUACUGGCUAUAAUAGCUAAUGCUUCUAUAGCCAUCAGACCAUGGAGUUAUUGUCAGUUUCAUCUCUGUCGUUAAGCUGGUAUUCUCUGAUUGAUAAAUUAGCAAUUUGUAUCACUUGGCUAUGUAUUGGAUUGCCAAAUAUGAAAUUAUUUCCUGGCUCUUGAAUGAUUGAUGAUGCUACUACUUACAUGGAUAUUUUUAUCAUAAAUAAAUGUGCAAUAUGGUUACAAAUUAAUUGGCUGUGCAAAUAUGGCCUGACCGUAUAAAUUAGGUGUCGAGUCUUUUCCUCUUUCUCGCAGGUCUGCAUCGAUAAGCUUUGAUCUCAGUAAUAGUACUAGCUGAAGUGCUGCCAACUAUGUCAUUCGUCGUGUAUCGGAACGUCCAAGAGUGGUUUAUGCUCAGAGUUCAUGGAUGUUUAUGCUCAGAGUUCAAAGGAUGUUUAUCCAUUACGUGUUGUUCAUAAUUUUUUUAAUUUAAUAGCCCACAUUUGUGAGUUGUAUCUCAAGUGUAUGCGUAGAUCGUGUUUGAUGUUGUAAAUUGUAAUAAUCAAGUGUCUAUUCCGUCAAUUAUGCUCUUCAUGGAUAA